rnacentral:tRNA from 2 species
GCGGAUGUGGUGAAAUUGGCAGUCACACUAGAUUUAGGAUCUAGCGCCUUCGGGCAUGUCGGUUCGAGUCCGACCAUCCGCA